CGGUGCGGAUGCUCGCGCCGCCGUUCGCGCCGCCGGGAGCGGCGCGGCUCCAUGGGGAGAACAUGGCUCCCUUCCCCGAGGAGGUGGACGUGUUCUCCGCCCCGCACUGGCGAAUGAAGCAGCUCGUGGGGCUCUACUGCGACAAGCUUUCCAAGACCAACUUCUCCAACAACAAUGAUUUUCGGGCUCUGCUGCAAUCUCUUUAUGCCACAUUCAAGGAAUUUAAAAUGCACGAGCAGAUUGAAAAUGAGUGCAUCAUUGGUUUGCUUCAGCAGCGUAGCCGGACAGUGUACAAUGUGCACUCAGACAACAAGCUCUCAGAGAUGCUUAGCCUUUUUGAGAAAGGGCUAAAGAAUGUAAAGAAUGAAUAUGAACAGCUAAACUAUGCGAAACAGCUGAAGGAGAGAUUGGAAGCCUUUACCAGGGAUUUCCUUCCUCAUAUGAAGGAGGAAGAGGAGGUUUUUCAGCCAAUGUUGAUGGAAUACUUUACUUAUGAAGAGCUGAAAGAUAUUAAGAAGAAAGUAAUUGCACAACACUGCUCACAGAAAGAGGCUGCAGAAUUCAGAGGUCUCAGUAAGUGGAAUCAGGCAGAAGAGCUUCAGAAGGUCUUUAAGUACUCUGUGGAUGAGAAGGCAGAUCAAGAAACCGAAGUAACAGGGCACACCACAAAUAUUACUAGUCUCCCUCCUGAAGUAAUGGUGACCAUUUUCAGUUACCUUAACCCCCAAGAGUUAUGUCAGUGUAGUCAAGUAAGCACUGAAUGGUCACAAUUGGCUAAAACUGGAUCUCUGUGGAAACAUCUUUACCCUGUUCGCUGGGCAAGAGGUGAUUGGUAUAGUGGUCCUGCAGCAGAUACUGAGACUGAACCUGAUGAGGAAUGGGUGAAAAAUAGAAAAGAUGAAAGUCGUGCUUUCCAGGAAUGGGAUGAAGAUGCUGACAUAGAUGAAUCUGAAGAAGCAGCUGAAGAUUCACUUGCCAUUAAUAUAGCACAAAUGGAAAAACGUUUACUUCAUGGCCUAAUUCAUCAUGUCCUCCCACUUGUGGGCUCCUCAGUGAAGACACUGGUAUUGGCCUACAGUUCUGCAGUGUCCAGCAAAAUGGUUAGGCAGAUCUUAGAGCUUUGCCCCAACUUGGAAUAUUUGGAUCUCACUCAAACUGAUAUUUCAGACUCUGUGUUUGAAAGUUGGUGUUCAGUUGGAUAUUGUCAAAAUCUACGCCACCUUGAUCUGUCUGGAUGUGAAAAAAUUACAGAUGUGGCUAUAGAGAGGAUUUCCAGAGCACUGGGUAUCAUAUCAACUCAUCAUACCAGAGGUGUUCUGAAAAGCUGCAGGAACAGGAACCCUAAGACUUUGUGGAAAAACAGAGAGAUUACUCUGCAGUCCAACCAGAAAUAUAAUGGUUUGCAUGAAAUCAGCAAUGAAAAUCUCAUUCAGGGAGGAAAUGGUGAGCAGCACUGGACUAAACCUGACGGCUCAGAAAACUUCAGUUCUUAUGUGUGGAUGCUAGAUGCAGAUGAUUUAGCUGACAUUGAAGAUGCUGCAGAGUGGAGACACAGAAAUGUUGAAGGAUUUUGUCUUAUGGAACCAACAUCCCAUAUUAAUUGUUCUGCAUUGUGCUACAGUAGAGACAUUUAUGGGUUAAGGACUAGAGGGUGGCAGCAGCACUGUGCUUCUACUGACUUGAUUUACUGCGGUCACUCGUUUUGUUGUGCUGGGACAGCACUAAGAACUAUUCAAGCACUUCCAGAGUCCUCUGCACUGUGUAAGAAACCAAUAAGGACUAAGCAGUCAGAGAAAAAAGACUCUGCAUACUCUGGGAGUGAAAAAACAGAUGAAGAGACGGCACGAGUUCUUCAGUUUCUCAGUCUGUCAGGCUGUUACCAGAUAACAGACCGUGCUCUCAGGGCGUUGACUCUGGGAGGAGGACUGCCGCAUUUGGAACACCUGAACCUCUCGGGGUGUCUCACUGUAACUGGUGCAGGCCUGCAGGAGUUGGUUUCUGCAUGCCCCUCUCUAAAAGAUGAACACUUUUACUACUGUGACAACAUUAACGCAGCAGCCAAAAAAGCCACCAAUAUUACCAUCGUCAGGGUGGUGAAAACAAGAUAGAGGGUGCUGUGCAUGGUCCUGGAAGCCUUGGGGCACUCACAUGUGGAGCACUGCAUGCGGGUUUGGUGUCCCCAUCCUGAGGAGAGUGUACACUGGAGUUACUGAAGAUACAGAAGAGGCCUUCUAAAAAGUUAGGGAACUGAACACUCAAAAGGCUGGAUGUUUCAGUGAGAUGGCUGAAAAGAGGGGCAUGACUGUUUACAGAACUGGGAAAGCAGUAGAUGAGGUGAAUGUGCAGUGGUAAUUCUCCAAAUCUUGCAGUGUUAGAGCUCAGGGGCACUGGGUGAAGCUGGUAAGCAAUUUAAAGGAGAUGCACAGUGUGGUGAAAUUGUGGAAUUUGGUCCAGUGGGGAAUUGUGGAAAGAGGUUUAAAAAGAGGUUAAAAACCUGCAUGCACAACUGAGCCAUAAAAAAAUGGAAGAAAUGGAUUUCAGUGUCCCUUGAUGUAACAGUUGGGGUUGCUGGAAAAACACAAAAGGUGUGCAUGAUAGGCUUAUGUCAUGUCCCUAAACACAACUUGAUGUUGCCAGUGGUGAAGGUAGUGUUAGAUGAAGCAUUGGUCAGACCUAGAAGUUUGUAUGUUCCAGUUAGGAGCAUGAGGAGUAACAAAAAGAGCAAGAAAAGGAUGAAAAACAAUAUUGAAUUAUACCAAGAAUUCCCUUCCUUGGGAUGUUGUGGUUCUGUAUGUUUUGUCAACAAACAUUUUGCUAGAAACGUGGCAGUUGCUUCAGAAUCACUGCUGUGCUGCGUAGCUGUGGCAGUGCUGGGGAAGGUCAGCUACGACUUGGGAAAUGCUGCUGCACAGAACAUGCUCUGCUAAACCAGCUGUUCAGAAGCACCGAGUCUCCUUGCUAAAGAACUUGUGAAGAAGCUUUCAAACUAGCUCGUAAGUGAUGUGGAGGAUCAAAAUAUAGUGCAGGUCCUCAUGCUGAAACCGCCAGUGGAUGCCAGAAUUUGCAGUGUGGUUUUCGGGCCUGCUGCCGCUCUGGCGAAUGACCGCUGACUUCUGAUCUUUCGGUCUACUUCAUUUAGCUGAGCAGGCUUCCUCUCAUGCACUUUACUUACAGUUCGCAUCUUGUGUUAACAAUCCUUGGAGUGAGACUUGUUAUACUAGCCUGACCCUGCCCACAACUUCAGAAUCUUAAUUAUGAGUGUACUGUACAGUGUUGUAACAAUCUCACAACCUCAUUUGGCUUGAAGGGUGUUGGGUUUUAUUUUACAUAAUUUGGGGAAGAUGGGAAAUUCUUCAGUUUUUUUCUUUUUAAUGCCACUUUAUUCCAAUUUUGGCACUUAAGUAUACUUUACUGCAUUAUUUUGUGUUAGGUGACUUCCUUUUUAUAAUUUUGAGUCCGUAAGUACAGUAUAAACCUCCGCAGAGAAUUUGAAUUUUAUUGUUUGCAUUUGGGUAAUAAUUACACAUCUUUAGGAGCCUGGUUUCUUGCCCUUUCCUCUCAUCCUGAAGUUGUUCUUUACAUUGCAAAAUUAGGGAAAUUGCCACCUUCCUUUUGCAUUUGGUUUUGUAUUUGGGCUUGAAAGACAUACUCAAAUAAAACAUUCCCACCAAUAAAAAAAUGUGUACAGCAGUUGAA